GGGGCAGGGUUGGAUAGGGGUUAGAUUGGGAGAGGAUUAAGGUUAGGGCUAGGUGGUGCCGGUUGGUGGGUUGGUUAGUUUGCAGUGCUGCUGCUGCUGCUGCAGGCGGCCUGCGAAGUAACCGGUUGGCACAUGAUAGGGUGACACCAUCAGGCGUGGUAAGGCAAACGAACUCAAAGAUGUCGGCAAGAGUUCCGGGGAGAGUUUCUUUUCUUUGUAAGGGCGGUUAUUACCCCUGGAAUCGGGUAUCACCUCCGUAAAGCACCUACCCUCUUGUGGGCCCCUGAAAAUCCGAGGGAGGCAGUGUUAUUUUCGUGGCAGGCCGUACCCACAUCCCCAUCAGGUCUCCAAGGUGAAGAGCCUCU
rnacentral:ncRNA from 1 species